UUUGAACAGUUCAUCAACACAUAAAAUCCCUCUCUUCCAUUCAAUAAUUCAAAGUAAGUGUAUUAACAACAACAGCAGGAUCAGAGUGAGUGUAUUAACAAGGUUGUGUACAAGACAUAAAACAGCGGUCAUUUUUCAAUUUAUAGUCAACUAAAUGAAGAACUUAGCUUCUGUUUUGAAGGACUAUCAGGCUUAGCUUUGUGGGCUUGGACAAUAAAAUCUGGAGCUAGCAGGUUGUGUAUCCAUUCCUUCGAGUUUAGAGGGGUGCGUGCUCUGCUCCAUCAAACCAGAGAAGCAGCAGAUUCGACUCCGACGGGAGAGAUGAGAGAACCUGUUGGUGCGGCUGUCGGCGAUGCAGCUCACGUAAAAAACUUCGUUAGCGACGGAUGGCCUCCGCCACCGCUAAGGCGCUGCUCUGCAGCUGAGAGAAAACUGGGAUACAUAGCCACAUUUUAGAAUACCAAAUAUGAUCAAGGCCUCGGCAUUAAUUCGACUGUCAUUGGAGUAGCAUCGUAGGACGAUGACAAGGAAGAGCUGUUUGGCAUUGCGUGCUGAUUCCUUGAUCCAUUAAAUCACUCUACAGAUGAAAAACUGGACUGCACAAUGAGGGUGAGCCUGAGUUACACCUCAAUUUUCACUGUCAGAAAUGAGCCCAAACUAUAUUCAGUAACCAGCAGCAAACCAAUUUGAACAAGUUUAGUGGCUAGAACAAGGUUCAAAGGUGAGUGUUAA
rnacentral:lncRNA from 1 species